ACGCUCGACACCUACGGGAGACAGCAGUGGGGAAUAUUGCACAAUGGGGGAAACCCUGAUGCAGCGACGCCGCGUGAGCGAAGAAGUAUCUCGGUAUGUAAAGCUCUAUCAGCAGGGAAGAAGAUGACGGUACCUGACUAAGAAGCACCGGCUAAAUACGUGCCAANAGCCGCCGGUAAUACUGAGCGGGCGUGGCGAACGGACGC
rnacentral:rRNA from 1 species